rnacentral:rRNA from 1 species
GAUGAACGCUGACAGCAUGCUUAACACAUGCAAGUCUUUCGCGAAGCUGUGCUUGCACAGCCAAGCCAAGGCGGACGGGUGAGUAACGCGUAAGGAACUUGCCCUGCAGUCAGGGAUAACAGACGGAAACGACUGAUAAGACCCGGUAAAGUCAGGCGGACUCAUGUCCAGCCUGAUGAAAAGAGGUGCUGGAGGAGAGCCCUGCGUCCUAUUAGGUUGUUGGUGGGGUAACGGCCCACCAAGGCGAUGAUAGGUAGCCGGCCGGGGAGGGAGGGCGGCAACAGGGGUACGGAAAGACCGCGACUACUCCGGGGGGAAGCAGCAGUGGAGAAUACUGGACGAGGGGGGGAACGAUGAAGCAACGAUGCUGUGUGGACGAUGAAGGUUUUCGGGUUGUAAAGUGCUUUCAGCAGGGAAGAAAAAAAUGACGGUACCUGGAGAAGAAGCGACGGCUAAAUACGUG